UACGUAGGGGGCUAGCGUUGUCCGGAAUCAUUGGGCGUAAAGCGCGCGUAGGCGGCCAGAUAAGUCCGGUGUGAAAGUCGGGGGCUCAACCCUCGAAUGCCGGUGGAUACUGUCGGGCUAGAGUACGGAAGAGGCGAGUGGAAUUCCUGGUGUAGCGGUGAAAUGCGCAGAUAUCAGGAGGAACACCCAUUGCGAAGGCAGCUCGCUGGGACGUUACUGACGCUGAGACGCGAAAGCGUGGGGAGCAAACAGG
rnacentral:rRNA from 1 species